CCUACGGGUGGCAGCAGUGGGGAAUAUUGCACAAUGGGGGAAACCCUGAUGCAGCGACGCCGCGUGAGCGAUGAAGGAUUUCGGUAUGUAAAGCUCUAUCAGCAGGGAAGAAAAUUACGGUACCUGACUGAGAAGCCCCGGCUAACUACGGGCCAGCAGCCGCGGUAAUACGGAGGGGGCCAGCGUUAUCCGGAUUUACUGGGUGUAAAGGGAGCGUAGACGGCGGUGCAAGUCAGAUGUGAAAGCCCGGGGCUCAACCUGGGGACUGCAGUUGGAACUGGGUGUCUGGAGUGUAGGAGAGGCUGGCGGAAUUCCGAGUGUAGCGGUGAAAUGCGUAGAUAUUAGGAGGAACACCAGUGGCGAAGGCGGCCUGCUGGACGAUGACUGACGUUGAGGCUCGAAAGUGUGGGGAGCAAACAGGAUUAGAUACCCGGGUAGUC
rnacentral:rRNA from 1 species